rnacentral:tRNA from 1 species
GUUAAUGUAGCAAAAUUUGGUCAUGCAGAAGAUCUAAGUCCUUCCAACAGGGGUUCAAAUCCCCUCACUAACU